GCGGGGGUGCCGGAGUGGUCAAACCAGGCAGGGACCAGACGGGAUACGUUCAGGGCGUAUUGGCUUAGUGCCUACGAGGGUUCGAAUCCCUUCCCCCGCA
rnacentral:tRNA from 1 species